rnacentral:lncRNA from 1 species
CUUGAUCGCCCAGAACAUAAGCUCUGCCCUGGCAGCAGUGGGUUACCGUGGCCCCGUGUCCAUCUCCGCCUUCGGCGACGCGAACAAUAUAACGCCGACCGUGCUGCAGGCGCUCUCCAGCACUGGCAUCGCCCUAAAUCACGUUCCCUCCGGUAAAAGAUCCGAUCGCGAAUCCCGAUACCGCCGUUCUCCGAUUGUGGAUGAUUCUUGUUUCUUGCUUCCUUUUCUCGUCAGAUUCUCUGUUUCUCGGGCGCAAUUUGGUUAGGGCAUCCAUUUCUCGUUCGAAUAAUUUUAGUGAUCGGUGUGUCCGUCAUUGCUUUGCAUAUAUGCUUGUUCUCCGAAUGGCGUCGGCUUGUCGGGCAUUUUCUUCGUGCUUGUUCUGUUGGCGCGCAUUUUCCGGUAUGCUUUUGUGUGUAGAGGUGCUUGAAUCUUGCAGGAUAUACUUAGGAGACUUAAAAAUAUCUUGGAUCCGACCUUUUGCUUCUUCCAAGUACAUGAAGUGCUCUAUUUAGCUUGUGCAACAUUUAGAGUAGCUGAUAAAUUGUUUAAAUUCUUUUUCUUGUGGAUAUAAUCGGCAGCUUAGCUUUUUUUUGGCAAAGAUCGGGUCUAUGAAACAAACCCAUGUUUAGAUGGAAAUUUUGUUUUAAAUUAUGGCUCAAGGAAGUUAUUUUUAUGGUCCUUGUUUUAUUGCAAACAAGUAUUUUUUGACUGAUAAUCAUCCCAGACCAUAUGUUUACUUAAGCUGUUUGUGUUUGUCAUACAAUAUCUAGCAUCUUCAUGAUUGUCAUACAAUAUCUAGCAUCUUCUUUCUGAGUUUAUAUACAACAUGUGCGUGUGGAUUUCCAAAACAUCUUAUUUUUGCCAGUAAUGAUCUCUACUCCAUUCAUGAUUGUAAAGAUUUACUCGUGCUUACAUGUGGCCCUAUCGAGAUAUGCAUGAUGAGAAAAAGAAAAAGAGAUAUGUCCCUCCAGCCUAUAUGCUUACCUAAGGUUAAAAAAUUACAGUUGAGAUCCUCUGUAUACAUAAUUUCUAGAAUUUAGUAAAAGGAAAUCAUGCUGCGUUAGUAUAUGGAAUUUGUGCAAAUUUAUGGUAAAAGAGUUCGGGAAUUUGGGUAGAGUAUGAUACUCAGCAACCAUUCCGUAUGUGUAAGGAGGGGUGAAGAGUGAUAAACGAUCAUUUAGAAGUAAUUUCUUUUGUUUUUAAAUUUCUUUGCCAUAACUAGUCAUUAUGUUGACAAUAAUGGUUAUUGGAAAUUCUUAUGCCGUCCGAUAUCGGCUGCAUGUUUUGGUCUAUGAUAAUUUGAAUAAGCUUGCAGUUUGAAUUGUAAUUGCAUAAGGUUGAUUGCUAACCAUAGUGGGUCUCUGAAGGGUUUGUUCUAAGAUAGACUUUUUUUGGUGCCUCUAAUUCUAUUUGAAGCUAAUUUUUGAGGUUUGAUGGUGUCAUAUAGUUGCAAUUAUGCUGCUGUUUUGUUUGGUCUGUCAUGAUGAAUUAUGCAAAUCAAAUGUGGGUACUGAGGUUCAAUUAUUUAAGCCAAAAUUAAGUGAAAGCUCGCCAUUUUGGUUCAAGAACACGUAGAAUAUAAAGUGCUAAGUGGUUGAUGUUUUAAAUUAUUAGUAUACUGUGUAGUUUGCUUAGAGAUGGCUUCUUUUAAUUUUUGAAUGUCUUACCAUCUUCUAUCUAAUUUUAUGUAGAUUUGUUUAUAAUUUGUUUAGGUAAAUGUUAUGCAGGUAUUAAAGAUGCUAGUGAUAAGAAGAUUUUGGUCGAUAUGCUAUUUUGGGCAGUUGAUAAUCCUGCACCUGCCAACUACUUAUUAAUAUCUGGUGAUCGUGACUUCUCAAACGCCCUUCAUCAACUUAGAUUAAGGAGAUACAACAUUCUUCUUGCACAGCCUCCUAAUGUAUCACAAGCCCUUGUUGCUGCUGCUAAGAGUGUCUGGAACUGGAAGGACCUUGUGGCUGGAGGAA